GGAAGUGUAGCUCAGCGGCAGAGCACAGGCUUAGCAUGUAUGAGACCCUGGGCUCAAACUCCAGCACUCCCC
rnacentral:tRNA from 1 species